AUAUUCAUUCUUUAUCCAACUUUUAUAAUUUGUUUUAAUGGUUUAUGAGAAGGUCAAAUUAAAGGAUGGAAUGGGACGACAACAGCAGCAGCAACAGCUUGCUUAAUGAUGGAAGUUGGAAGAGAGGAAAGGGAUGGAGAGGCUAUGAAUCAUGUUCAAAGUUGCAGCUUGCAAUAAGCAUUCAUCACUGGGCCUGGUCAGGGUCAAGAUACCCAAAGCCCAAAGGCAAAACCCACACCCGCACGCAGCACCCGACGACUCCACUAGCGUCUACAUUCCAUGCCUCAUCCAGAGUUCGUGAACCACCUUCCCAUGAGCGGCGCUGCCCCAUUGCAUGGUUGAUGACGAAUGGAUGUGGUCGCGCCUAGAGCUCUGCCGCCCACGUCAUCGCUUAUUCGCUAAUCCCUCUUCAUGGUUUGUCUCUCUCUUGGGCUCACCAACGUUGACGGGGAAAUCUUUAUCAAUGGCGCCGCCGUCGUUGACGGCAUUGAAGAACAAAACGCGUUGAUGAGUGUAACUGGGUUCUCAUGGUAAAAAUCCAUAUUUACGAGAGAGCUUCGAAAUUAUUGUCAAAUUCAAUUAUUAAUCUUGAUUCGUUAAG
rnacentral:lncRNA from 1 species